rnacentral:rRNA from 1 species
UACGGAAGGCAGCAGUGGGGAAUAUUGCACAAUGGGCGAAAGCCUGAUGCAGCUAUGCCGCGUGUAUGAAGAAGGCCUUAGGGUUGUAAAGUACUUUCAUCGGGGAGGAAAAAACAAAACUAAUAAUUUUAUUUCUUGACGUUACCCGAAAAAGAAGCACCGGCUAACUCCGUGCCAGCAGCCGCGGUAAUACGGAGGGUGCUAGCGUUAAUCAGAAUUACUGGGCGUAAAGAGCACGUAGGUGGUUUUUUUAAGUCAGAUGUGAAAUCCCUGGGCUUAACCUAGGAACUGCAUUUUGAAACUGAAAUACUAGAGUAUCGUAGAGGGAGGUAGAAUUCUAGGUGUAGCGGUUGAAAUGCGUAGAUAUCUGGAGGAAUACCUGUGGCGAAAGCGGCCUCCUAAACGAAUACUGACACUGAGGUGCGAAAGCGUGGGGAGCAAACAGGGAUUAGAUACC